rnacentral:rRNA from 1 species
UCAUGCUAGAAAGAGCGUAUGGUGGAUGCCUUGGCACUAAGAGCCGAUGAAAGACGUGAUAAGCUGCGAAAAGCUUCGGGGAGGAGCAAAUAUCCUUUGAUCCGGAGAUCUCUGAAUGGGGAAACCCACUUGAGCAAACCUCAAGUAUCCUAACGCCAAUACAUAACGUUAGGAGGGGAACCCGGUGAACUGAAACAUCUAAGUAGCCGGAGGAAGAGAAAACAACAUGUGAUUCUGUGAGUAGCGGCGAGCGAAAACGGAAGAGCCCAAACCGGGGUGCGUGCAUCCCGGGGUUCGGACCGCAUAAUUGAUUCAACGAAUUUAGCAGAACGGUUUUGGGAAAGCCGGCCAGAGAGGGUGAAAGCCCCGUAAGCGAAAGAUGAGUUGACAUGGCGGUAUCCAGACUAGGUCGAGACACGUGGAACCUUGACUGAAGAUGCGGGGACCACCCCGUAAGGCUAAAUACUCCUUAGUGACCGAUAGCGCAUAGUACUGUGAAGGAACGGUGAAAAGGACCCCGGGAGGGGAGUGAAACAGAACCUGAAACCAUAUGUUUACAAGCUGUGGAAGAGCUUUAUAUGCUCAACCGCGUACUUUUUGUAGAACGGUCCGGCGAGUUGCGCUGGCUGGCGAGGUUAAGCACCAAAGGUGUGGAGCCGAAGGGAAACCAAGUCUUAAUAGGGCGAAAGAGUCAGUCGGAGCAGACCCGAAACCGGGUGAUCUAUCCAUGUCCAGGUUGAAGUUGCCGUAAAAGGCAAUGGAGGACCGAACCCACAUCCGUUGAAAAGGGUGGGGAUGAGGUGUGGAUAGGGGAGAAAUUCCAAUCGAACCCGGAGAUAGCUGGUUCUCCUCGAAAUAGCUUUAGGGCUAGCCUCAUAUAAGUCUUGCGGAGGUAGAGCACUGAAUUUCCUAGGGGGCGUCAAAGCUUACCGAAGAAUAUCAAACUCCGAAUGCCGUGUAGAUGUUGUAUGGGAGUCAGACUGUACGAGAUAAGUUGGACAGUCAAAAGGGAAAGAGCCCAGACCUGCAGCUAAGGCCCCAAAAUGUGUGUUAAGUGGAAAAGGAUGUGGGAUUUCAAAGACAACUAGGAUGUUGGCUUAGAAGCAGCCAUACAUUCAAAGAGUGCGUAAUAGCUCACUAGUCGAGAGGUCCUGCGCCGAAAAUGUCCGGGGCUGAAACACACUGCCGAAGCUCAGGAAUUAACUGAUGUUAAUUGGUAGAGGAGCAUUGUAUACGGGACGAAGCAGUACCGAUAAGGAGCUGUGGACUGUAUAGAAGAGAGAAUGCCGGAAUGAGUAGCGAGAGGAAGGUGAGAAUCCUUCCGGCCGAAUAUCUAAGGUUUCCAGAGUAAAGCUGAUCUGCUCUGGGUAAGUCGGGGCCUAAGGCCAGGUCGAAAGACGUAACCGAUGGACAACAGGUUGAAAUUCCUGUACCUUAAGUAAACAGAACUGUGGGGACACGUGUGGAGAGCACAAGCCGGAAAUGGAAAAGCCGGUGCAAGCGGGGUAGGAGAUGAAUAGGCAAAUCCGUUCAUCAAUCCGAAGACGUGAUGCGGACCGAAUUAAGAGUAGGGAAGUGUGUGAGCCAUGCGUCAAGAAAAGCCGCUAUUGUUUUACUUAAGCCCGUACCGUAAACCGACACAGGUGGAUGAGGAGAGAAUCCUAAGGCCGACGGGAGAAGCAUUGUUAAGGAACUCGGCAAAAUGACUCCGUAACUUCGGGAGAAGGAGUGCCAGCGAGAGCUGGCCGCAGAGAAUUGGCCCAAGCAACUGUUUAGCAAAAACACAGGUCUAUGCAAAACCGUAAGGUGAAGUAUAUGGGCUGACGCCUGCCCGGUGCUGGAAGGUUAAGAGGAGAGGUUAGCGGCAACGCGAAGCUUUGAAUUUAAGCCCCAGUAAACGGCGGCCGUAACUAUAACGGUCCUAAGGUAGCGAAAUUCCUUGUCGGGUAAGUUCCGACCCGCACGAAAGGCGUAAUGAUUUGGGCACUGUCUCAACAAUGCACCCGGUGAAAUUGAAAUACCAGUGAAGAUGCUGGUUACCU